AGAAGACCAUGAAGUGUGGCUUACCACUCACCAGAUUGGCAGGCACAAAGGUAGAUACUUGGUGGCUGGGGGAGGAGUGUGUGACAGAGAGCGAGCAGGCUCUCUUGUUGGAGGGUGUGUGUAUUUGCACACCUUUCAUUGGUCCUUCAGCCACGUAGACUACCUGUAACUCGUAUGUACCCUUGGACUUGUCAGCUGCACUUCUAGGGAUUUAAUCUAAGGAAAUAAUGUGCCAGAUUGAUGUACGGGGACCACCUUGUUAGUGAAAAGCAGACAGUGUCCAGUGGCAGCUUUAUGGUGU
rnacentral:lncRNA from 1 species